rnacentral:rRNA from 1 species
GACGAACGCUGGCGGCGUGCUUAACACAUGCAAGUCGAACGGAAAGGCCCUGCUUUUGUGGGGUGCUCGAGUGGCGAACGUGUGAGUAACACGUGAGUAACCUGCCCUUGACUUUGGGAUAACUUCAGGAAACUGGGGCUAAUACCGGAUAGGAGCUCCUGCUGCAUGGUGGGGGUUGGAAAGUUUCGGCGGUUGGGGAUGGACUCGCGGCUUAUCAGCUUGUUGGUGGGGUAGUGGCUUACCAAGGCUUUGACGGGUAGCCGGCCUGAGAGGAUGACCGGCCACAUUGGGACUGAGAUACGGCCCAGACUCCUACGGGAGGCAGCAGUGGGGAAUAUUGCACAAUGGGCGGAAGCCUGAUGCAGCAACGCCGCGUGCGGGAUGACGGCCUUCGGGUUGUAAACCGCUUUCGCCUGUGACGAAGCGUGAGUGACGGUAAUGGGUAAAGAAGCACCGGCUAACUACGUG